rfam:Schistosoma margrebowiei strain Zambia genome assembly, scaffold: SMRZ_scaffold0003181
AUGCAGCUGACGAGUCCCAAAUAGGACGAAACAUGCGUCCUAAAU